rnacentral:lncRNA from 1 species
UGCACAUGGGAAGCCGGGGUGUUUCCCUGUUCUUCUCCAGCCUGCUUGCAUUUGCUGCAGAGGGGCAGGCUUCUGUGAUCAUAUGCCUAUUUUGUUCUUGUCUCCUCAACAUAUUUCUCUUUUCUUGUGUCUCUGUGCUUGCAGCUCCUCAGCACAAAGCACUCUGUGCGAUCGAGCUGCUAGCACCUCCACCCAGUGCUCCCACUGACGACAGAGGGAGUCCCAGUCACAGGGUCCCUGACAGACCGGACCUCUCGCGCCGCGCCCCUGCUUCCCGCAGGCAUUCGUCACAGCGUUCAGCACCGCUUGGCCUAGGUCAGAUGCCUGCGUUAUUCCGCUGGCCAAACCCCUCGCAGUGGGAUACAGUGCUAGCUCUCUCUUUUUGUUUCUCUUUGUUUAUAGUACUCGAUCCAGCUUUCAGGCCAUGCGCAAAUGCUCUGCUCCCAGCCAACUUGAAUUCAUUUCAAGGAAGAUUGCACAAGAAUUCAGCUCUGCUGCUCCGAGCCAGGCCUGCUGGGCUGGCUGUUUUGUUCUCUCGGGCCCCAGUCCUGCCGAAGGACCUGCUGGCACAAACCCCUGGAGCAUCCCUAUUUUGA